rnacentral:tRNA from 1 species
GGUGCCAUAGCUCAGUUGGUAGAGCAAAGGACUGAAAAUCCUUGUGUCGGCGGUUCGAUUCCUCCUGGUACCACGA